rnacentral:rRNA from 1 species
GCGUGAGUGAAGAAGGCCUUAGGGUUGUAAAACUCUUUCACCGGGGACGAUGAUGACGGUACCCGGAGAAGAAGCCCCGGCUAACUCCGUGCCAGCAGCCGCGGUAAUACGGAGGGGGCUAGCGUUGUUCGGAAUUACUGGGCGUAAAGCGCACGUAGGCGGUUUAUCAAGUCAGGUGUGAAAGCCCCGGGCUCAACCCGGGAAUUGCAUUUGAUACUGAUUCACUAGAGGCCGGGAGAGGGUAGUGGAAUUCCCAGUGUAGAGGUGAAAUUCGU